UAGGGAAUCUUCCGCAACGGACGAAAGUCUGACGGAGCAACGCCGCGUGAGCGAUGAAGGCCUUCGGGUCGUAAAGCUCUGUUGUUAGGGAAGAACAAGUACCGGAGUAACUGCCGGUACCUUGACGGUACCUAACCAGAAAGCCACGGCUAACUACGUGCCAGCAGCCGCGGUAAUACGUAGGUGGCAAGCGUUGUCCGGAAUUAUUGGGCGUAAAGCGCGCGCAGGCGGUCCUUUAAGUCUGAUGUGAAAGCCCACGGCUCAACCGUGGAGGGUCAUUGGAAACUGGGGGACUUGAGUACAGAAGAGGAAAGCGGAAUUCCACGUGUAGCGGUGAAAUGCGUAGAGAUGUGGAGGAACACCAGUGGCGAAGGCGGCUUUCUGGUCUGUAACUGACGCUGAGGCGCGAAAGCGUGGGGAGCAAACAGGAUUAGAUACCCUGGUAGUCCACGCCGUAAACGAUGAGUGCUAAGUGUUAGAGGGUUUCCGCCCUUUAGUGCUGCAGCUAACGCU
rnacentral:rRNA from 1 species